rnacentral:rRNA from 1 species
AUUGAACGCUGGCGGCAGGCCUAACACAUGCAAGUCGAACGGAGCGGCGGACGGGGGAGUAAUACCUAGGAAUCUGCCUGUUCGUGGGGGAUAACGUCCGGAAACGGGCGCUAAUACCGCAUCCUAUCAGAUGAGCCUAGGUCGGAUUAGCUAGUUGGUGGGGUAAGGGCUCACCAAGGCGACGAUCCGUAACUGGUCUGAGAGGAUGAUCAGCCACACUGGAACUGAGACACGGUCCAGACUCCUACGGGAGGCAGCAGUGGGGAAUAUUGGACAAUGGGCGCAAGCCUGAUGCAGCCAUGCCGCGUGUGUGAAGAAGGUCUUCGGAUUGUAAAGCACUUUAAGCUGGGAGGCGUUACCAGCAGAAUAAGCACCGGCUAACUUCGUGCCAGCAGCCGCGGUAAUAC